rnacentral:lncRNA from 1 species
CACAGCUAGUCGGUGUGCGGGGCUGAGGGCUGCCCGGGCUUCUCUGGCGCCCAAACCGGGAGCGAGAGCGGGCUACUGGGCGCGAAGACUGGAACCGGCAGGUUGCUGGGGCUGCAUUACGCCUGCCCUCCACCCAGGGCCCGGGCGCAAGAGGCAGCUCGCGCUCCCUCCCGGAGUGCUGGAGACAGAUAUGCAAGAUGGCAGAGGAGGGGGGGAAAGCCAAUAGAAAAGGGAUAUUGCACCUACUUGUGGCCAGUUUCCUUGCCCUGCCUUUGGAUCUCAUGCUGUGCCCAGUCCUGCAGCCGCUGGUGUGUGGUUGGGUUUUUUUUUUUCUUGGAUCUUUUCCUUCUUUUGCUCUCCCUCUCGCUCCCUCCCUCUCUCCUCUCCUCUUCUCUCUCUCUCUCUCUCUCUCUCUCUCUCUCUCUCACACACACACACACACACUCACACACACACUUCCACACACUCACUCUGUCUUUCCCUCUUUCACUCUCUCUCCCUCCCUCUCUCCCUUUCUCUCAAUCCACACUCGCUAUCUCUCUAGCAUUGUCAGUUUGGGCACCUUCGCACAUGCGCGCUAGACGCCCCUCCAACAUCUCAGCGCCGCCAAAAAAAGUUUGGAGCGAUUUAUCACUUUGAUUUGGAGAUCUUGUCAGAUGGCAAUCGCUGAGGAGGCGGAGAAAGGAGCCACGGGGAGGGCGGCUGGGGGCGGGGAGCGAGCGCAGGGAGCUAGAGGGGAGCAGACACCUCGCCCAAAAAAAAAAAAAAAGGAAUGAAAAGGCUUGAAAGGCUUGGACCGGGGAUUGAUUCCGUGGGGGCAGGGGAUUGAUUCUGUGUUGGAAAUCACCAAAAAGCCUAUGUUAACUAUUAGUACUGUUUUUCCCAUAAUAAGUUGCAGAAAAUUUUAUAUACUGUCCAUGGAAAAAGUAAGCAGUAGAGGGGGAAAAAAACUUCUAAAUAAAUAUUUUCUCUACUAAAGAACUAUAAGAAGGACUGGACCAUCGGCGAACGAUCCAAGAGGAAGUAAGAAUCAUCCUGAACUUGAGAAAUCUGCUGCGGCUGCUACUGCUACCGAAGCUAUUGCGGCUUCCGCUUUCAGAGUUGGAAGCAGAAUAAAUAACUGUUUCUUUUUCAAUUUUAGGUGUAAUUCUAAUGCUUGCUGCUAUCCUACGAAGAUUUCAGUAGUCUAUUGCCAUCAAGUAAUAAUGAUCAUCCUUGAUUCCCAGGUCCAGGCUGGCGCGGCAUUUGACAUCCAAGACCUCCUGCCUUCCCUAAGGUGGGCUGUCACCUUCCGGCCUCCCCUCGCUGCCCCCGUCGCCUCCCUCUGCAGCUCAGCCUGCCUACCAUUUUCACUCACUCACUCAAACCUACAACCUCUGGGGUCACAAGAAGGAGGAAGAGAGGGGAAAUUCCAUACACUCCUUAAAAAAUACAUUGUUGAAAUUCGCAUUAAUUAUAGGAUUUACCACUGAAGUGGGCAUGCAAAAAUGGGGAACUCCUAAAGGGGCUAGGUAUGUUCAAGGUAUGAAUCAAUCGUAACUCCAUAGAUUUUCUCUUGGUACAACCUCCUUGCAUUAAACAGUUUUGUUCAAUACCUUCCAUGUGCUAUUUAUGUCCCCAUUAAUAUCUGUUGCAAAUCCUGCCAGACACAAU